rnacentral:rRNA from 1 species
CAGCCGCCGCGGUAAUGCGUAGGUGGCAAGCGUUGUCCGGAAUUAUUGGGCGUAAAGGGCUCGCAGGCGGUUUCUUAAGUCUGAUGUGAAAGCCCCCGGCUCAACCGGGGAGGGUCAUUGGAAACUGGGAAACUUGAGUGCAGAAGAGGAGAGUGGAAUUCCACGUGUAGCGGUGAAAUGCGUAGAGAUGUGGAGGAACACCAGUGGCGAAGGCGACUCUCUGGUCUGUAACUGACGCUGAGGAGCGAAGGCGUGGGGAGCGAACAGGAUUAGAUACCCCCGUAGUCCCUGUCUCUUAUAC